GUCCGACUUGUUGACAGUUGCUGC
rnacentral:siRNA from 1 species